UACGGAGGGGGCUAGCGUUGCUCGGAAUCACUGGGCGUAAAGGGCGCGUAGGCGGCGUUUUAAGUCGGGGGUGAAAGCCUGUGGCUCAACCACAGAAUGGCCUUCGAUACUGGGACGCUUGAGUAUGGUAGAGGUUGGUGGAACUGCGAGUGUAGAGGUGAAAUUCGUAGAUAUUCGCAAGAACACCGGUGGCGAAGGCGGCCAACUGGACCAUCACUGACGCUGAGGCGCGAAAGCGAGGGGAGCAAACAGG
rnacentral:rRNA from 1 species